GGCAUUUUUCAUAAACGCCGCAAAUAUUUAUUAAAUUUGACUUAAACAGCUCAUUUUGUUAGCCCUGAAAUUCCUUUAGUUUUUCCCCAAAUGAUAUUUCUCCAAAAUUUUUUUCCAAAUCCCAUUAUCUCUUCCCCAAUUUCCCCUAAAUGAUUGAAAACCCUAACUUUUUUCCCCAAAUCCCCUCCUUUUUGUCAUCUUUUAAAUCCUAACCCUUUUCUCUUCUAUAUAAAUUCUUCACCAGCAACAGCAACAAAAAAUUUCUCAUAGCUGUUCUCUUUGCCGAAACCAAAAAAAUUCUGAGGAAAAUAUGCAGCAGCCUUCACAAUUGAUGAACAUCCCCACUGAGUAGAUUCAAAAGGUACAAGCCCAAUACCAUUGAUCUAUCAGAUCACAAAAAGUUUAGAGUACUGGUUCACUGUGCUUUCAGAGCACUUGCUUGACCUUGUUGAUAAGGGCAGUUACUGAGCUUCAAAUUAUCUAUUUCUUUCUCUUUUUUGGUCAGACCGAAUUAAGCAGGCCAAAGUUUGUAAAGAUAAAAUGCCUAGAAGAAGAUUGCAAGAUCUCAGUAUUAUUCAAAAUCCUUCGAAUUCGGAAUAAACAAAUAGUGAAAAACAGAGAGCUACAGGACAUUCGAAUAUUCCGAAUACAACUGACGAAUCUAUAGAAAUUCAAACUGAAAGUGGUGGGAGGCGCAAAACUCGAGGGCGUACACUAUUAAAAGAUUUAUACGAGUUAAAUUCUGUCGAGCGUGUCAAAGUAGCUAGAAACAAUCUUGGUCAGUCUAUUGGAUCAGAAGCUCAACUAUUAGUAGGAUACUUGGGCAUUAUAGCACGAAAUGCCAAUAUGUUGCCUAUCAACUACGAGUCAUCGCAUCAUAUGCUUGAUAGUAUAAAAAAUCAAGCUCUCGAUAAUAUUAAGGAGAGAUUUGCUAUAAAGGUAUCGGAUAAUUAUGUGAAGAAGGCAUUACGAAACAAAUGGAGAGACCAUAAAAGUGCUUUAAAGAAGGAAUAUUUUAAGAAAAAUAUAAGCCUCAAAGAGAAAUUACAAAUGUCCUGCUGAGAAUGCUGAGGUACCAAUGGGAAGAUGCAAUUAGAUUUUGGAAUUCAAAGAAAUGAGAGGAUCGUGAGCUAGUUGGAACUACAAGUAGGCAAAAAUAAAAAUUCACGCACACAGUUGGGUUGAAAAGUUUUGCUUGUGUAGCUGAUGACGAGGAACUGUCGUCUGGUCAAAAAGUUGGACGCCUUUAGCUUUUUAACAUUACACAUAGAAAGAAAGAUGGAUCUCCUACGACUACUAAAGCUGCAAAAAUUAUGGAGAAACUAAAGGAUAAAAGGGCAGAGUAUGAAGCAAUCGCUUCGAGUGAUAGUUCUGUUAAUCUUGAUGACAUUGAUAACCGAAUUAUUACUGAAGUUUUGAGUCCUGAAAGCAAUACAUGCCUUCAGAGAAUCAAGCUCAAGCUAAAGUUCAAAGGUUAAGGGACUAGAUGGCUCAGAUGCAAGCGAGCACAGUUGAGCAAAUUGCUCAACUUAAAGUGGAGGCAGCAUCAAGAGAAGCAGAGGCUCAAAGAAAAUAUGAAGAACUCUAGAUAAAACUUAAAGUGGAGGCAGUAGCGAGGGAAGUAGAGGCAAGCAAAAAAUAUGACGAACUCCAGCUACAACUUUAGAAUAUGAUGAAGAUGUUUCAGUAGUCGCAGAGUCUACCCUUUUAGACGUCUGUUUUCUUAUUGUAAGAAUAUUUUAACAUUAUAACUUUUGAA